rnacentral:tRNA from 1 species
GGCAUGGUAGCCGAGUAGGUAAAGCGCAUAUAGGUAGUUUCUUGGUACCGAAUAUCGAUGGUUCGAAUCCAUCCCAGAGCAAGUUA